rnacentral:ncRNA from 1 species
UAGAACAAUGUAGCUAAGGGAAGUCAUCAAAACAAAUUCAUAAUUUCAAAAAAAUGAUUGGGUCUGAGGUUAGGAUUCAAAAUUUUGCGUCUAAACUUCGGCGUACUGUCUACGGUUUGCCCAAGAUGCUUGCGCAGUGAGGACAAAUUGUUGAGUGCUUGUUAGACGAAGGGUGUAGAAUGUCGGUGACUCUUUUGGGAGCUUUCUUAGCGAAAGUCUUCUUGUGGGAAAGGGGGAGGAGAGCUCAGCUUUCCUCAGAUGAACAACCAAUUCAAAACUCGUAUGGACAAGAAGAAUCUAACUGUUUAAUUAAAACAAAGCAUUGCGUUGAUUUCCAUGGAUGUUAACACAAUGUGAUUUCUAUCUAAUGCUCUCAAUGUCAAAGUGAAAAAAAUCAUCAAGUGCGUUUAAAUGGCGGAAGUAACUAUGAUUUUAUUAAGGUAGCCAAAUGUUUCGUCAUCUAAUUAAUGACGUGCAUGAAUAACUAUGAUUUUAUUAAGGAAACCAAAUGUUUCGUCAUCUAAUUAAUGACGUGCAUGAAUAAAUUAACAAGAUUUCCAUUGUUGAUAUCUACCAUUCAGCAAAACCACAACCAAGGAAACAUCUUCU